rnacentral:rRNA from 1 species
GACGAACGCUGGCGGCGUGCUUAACACAUGCAAGUCGAACGGAAAGGCCCUGCUUUGGUGGGGUGCUCGAGGGGCGAACGGGUGAGUAACACGUGAGUAACCUGCCCUUGACUUUGGGAUGACUUCAGGAAACUGGGUCUAAUACCGGAUAGGAGCUCCUGCUGCAUGGUGGGGGUGGGAAAGUUUCGGCGGUUGGUGAUGGACUCGCGGCUUAUCAGCUUGUUGGUGGGGUAGUGGAUUACCAAGGCUUUGACGGGUAGCCGGCCUGAGAGGGUGACCGGCCAAAUUGGGAUUGAGAUACGGCCCAGACUACUACGGGAGGCAGCAGUGGGGAAUAUUGCACAAUGGGCGGAAGCCUGAUGCAGCAACGCAGCGUGCGGGAUGACGGCCUUCGGGUUGUAAACCGCUUUCGCCUGUGCCGAAGCGUGAGUGACGGUAAUGGGUAAAGAAGCACCGGCUAACUACGUG